rnacentral:rRNA from 1 species
GUGGGGAAUAUUGGACAAUGGGGGGAACCCUGAUCCAGCCAUGCCGCGUGUGUGAAGAAGGCCUUUUGGUUGUAAAGCACUUUAAGCGAGGAGGAGGCUACCGAGAUUAAUACUCUUGGAUAGUGGACGUUACUCGCAGAAUAAGCACCGGCUAACUCUGUGCCAGCAGCCGCGGUAAUACAGAGGGUGCAAGCGUUAAUCGGAUUUACUGGGCGUAAAUCGCGCGUAGGUGGCCAAUUAAGUCAAAUGUGAAAUCCCCGAGCUUAACUUGGGAAUUGCAUUCGAUACUGGUUGGCUAGAGUAUGGGAGAGGAUGGUAGAAUUCCAGGUGUAGCGGUGAAAUGCGUAGAGAUCUGGAGGAAUACCGAUGGCGAAGGCAGCCAUCUGGCCUAAUACUGACACUGAGGUGCGAAAGCAUGGGGAGCAAACAGGAUUAGAUACCCCAGUAGUCC